GGUUAAAAAAUGAAUGAUUACACUUAUUGGUUUACAUGCGAACUUUUGUUUAUUUUAUAUCCUUCUAUAUGUUGGAUAUGCAAAUUUCACGAAGUGGGGAUAGACACAACUGUCUUCACACAACCUACUUCAGAUUACUCCACUAAACACAAUACUCUAAUAAAUAGAAACUCUGAACAAUGUCAACAACUUCCAUGAACUCCCAAUGACUCUCUUUGUCUCAACCAAUAUGCUAAUUUUUUUAUAAGAGUUUUGCUAGUCCAUUCUUCCAAUCCCAUAGGGGUGCCAAUGACUCUCACCACAACAGUUUAUACAUGUAUAAUUUACCAAAACAAGUAUCCCCAUGCGAAGCUUCACCUGUAUGUAAGUACAUAACUUUUUUGUUAAUUUAAGUUUUCUGUUAGUUAACCAUAGCUGUUUGUAAAUUGAACACCUGUUUCUCUGUGUAUAUUGAACAAUUUCCAUAAGAUAUAUAUGUUUGCAAAUGUAAAAUAUGUUUGUUUCCCAAUGCCAUGGUUUAGGGUCUAGUUCUACUGUGUGGCAUUUUGGGCAAGAGUCUUCGACUAUAGGUAGGGAUCAACAAAUGCAUUUUUAGUGAAAGUGGUUGAUGGGAACUAUAUGAAGCUUAUUGCAUGUGUGUGUUACACCAUAUCAAUUAUGUGAUGCAUGUUAUAGGUAACUGUUGACAAAAAGUGCAAAAUACUCAUUGAAAAAUCAAAAUAAUUUAGAGUAAUGUCAAGAAGGGAUGUGGAAUGGAUAGUGAAAGGUCUGGCUUGGAAGGUGUCCCACAGUAUUGCAGCCUGGGCCUAUGUGUCAUCUUGCUACUGCAAGAGAGUACAGACCAUUGAAUGUUUAUGAAAUAUUGGCAUCUAAGAUUAUGAACUCUUUGGAUUUACUGAUUACCUUGAUGUCAGUGAGAUUGCCAUUGUCAAACAAGAGAUUUGUUACCUUAGUAAGUGUCUACCCUCCAACCAUGUGUUCCUCUGAAGAGAAAAAAAAGACUAAUAUUUUAUCUUUCAUGAAAAAAGCUUCUAUGCAGUGUUCUUUCUGCUUAUAAAAUCUUCAUAUUUGGUGAUUUCAAUGAAAGCAUUUGCAGAGAUAAAAAAGUUUGGGAUAUAAUUGGGAAACAUGAAGCCAGAAAAUGCAAUAAUAAUGGCUUGUUUAGUACUGCAAGUGUGUUCGAUUUUUGCAUAUACUGGGUAACUGUCAAUCUCCUAGUGUGGAGCAUGCUGUAUUUGAGCACCAAAUAUGUGGGAGUAUUUAUGUCAUCAAGAUGAAAGGCAAUUAGGUCUCAUUAAUUUCUGUUUGGUGAGUUGGCCCUGAGGAAAAAUCUAGGCAACAAAUUGAAAUUAAGGCAUGAAAGUCAUUAGAGACACUUAGAGGAUCUAGAUCAAAUUAGAGAAAGUGAAAACAUCACAAAGUUUUUGAUGGAAAAAAUUGGUUCAUGUUGGAAUGAGUGAAUUUGAAUGAAUGUCAAUAAAAUCUUAGUGUGCAUGAAAAGCUUGAGAGAGAUUUUUGAAAAGGUCUUAAUAUUAAUGUUUCCAUUGUGUUUUGCUUCAAAAACUACAUAGACAUGACAGAAUUAAAUAGACAUCCUUAUAAUUGUUAAAAUUUAUUUAAGUUAUUUAUUAAUUAUUAUAAUGUGAAUAUCUAAUAUUUAGUAGACAGGCUCCUUGCAUUUUUGAAUGCAAGGACCCUAGCAGGCAUGCUACUGAUCUGAUGAAUAUUUUCUUCAUGAUUUUCUUGCCAAGUUUCUUGCAGUAAUAUCAAAAGAUCUGGCUUUAAGGAUGCUUUCUUUUUCUUUUUAGGAAGUAUCCCAUCCAUCAUGUCUCAGAGGUGUUCAGUAGGGUUCAUAUCUGGUGAUUGGCUUAGCUAUGGAAGCUUUUUAAUGCCAUUCUCUUCCAACCAAUCCUGGGUCUUUUAGUUGUGCAAGAAAGCCCUAUCUUCCAUAAAUAGUGUUAUUUAAUCAUUUUAACCCUGGAUGUUAUAGGAAGAAGAUUUUUCUAUAAUAUGGACACAUUUAUCUGAGUUUAUGUAUCCCUCACAUUCCACCAUUUCUGAUCGACUAUUGCUCCAAACUGCUCUCCAGACCAUCACAUGUUUCAUUGUUGGCUGCAAUAUAUUCACGUGAAAAUAUUGGUGACUGAUUCUCCAGACCCACAUUCGACCAUUGUCAGAAAAUACAGCAAAUCUGGAUUCAUCAGAGAAUUUGACAGUGUCCCAAAGUGCUAGUGACCUCUCUACCAUCUCACUUGUCCAAUCUUUUCUCCAUUUGAUAUUGGCUGGUCGAAGCAGUGUCUUCUUUCUU
rnacentral:lncRNA from 1 species